ACCUAGACUGAAUGUGUCACAGACGGCGCAUGUGAAAUGUCAGUUCAGAGCAGAGAACAGCGGCCUUAUCACGUCCUCCUUCUGUCCAGUGCCUCAAGGGGACGGAUUAUGUUGUUUCUAGAAAGAGACCAGUCCCGACCAGCCAUUCAGCACCUUGGAGAGCGGCGUGCAGCACACUUUCAUUGAAGUGCAGAUCGUAAGAGAUUGUGCCAAUUCAGCAUUUAUUGACCUUCAUGUCAGCAUAAAUGCUCAUAGACAUGCACUAUAGACACACUCCCCUAUUGUUCUUUCCCACGUCUGUGUGAAAGAAUGACUUUAAUAGAAUUGUUUGUUGCGAAUGAACUGCCAUCACCAUGCCUGUAAAAAUGUUUGUCAUAUUGCAUAAAUGUGUAUGAUGAAUGUAAACGGCAUAGGUUAAUUCCCAGUGAAUAAACCAUGGAAAGACAUAGGCAGUGAAAUUUACAUAUCAAAUAAAUUUUCUACGUAUAGUGAUCAUAGACAAUAAAC